rnacentral:rRNA from 1 species
AUGGCGGCCACGCUCUCCUCCGUGUCUGCCUCUUCCAAGCACUGCUCCGUCGUCAGGGCUCAGCACUCGCCACUUCCUUCCAUCCUCACAACAUCACCAGCCAAGAAAACUGCCUUCCAUGGGGUUUCCUUGGUGGACAGCAGGUGGUUGCGCAGCGGCGGCGCGCGGCGAAGGCUGGUGCAGGUGAAUGCCAAGACCGCCGGCGCGGCCAAGAACAUCGAGGUGGAGGUCGACAAGCCGCUCGGCCUCACCCUUGGCCAGAAGUCCGGCGGCGGCGUCGUCAUCACUGGUGUGGAGUCCGGAGGGAAUGCAGCAAGAGCAGGGCUCAAGUCAGGUGACCAAGUGCUCUACACAAGCAGCUUCUUCGGUGAUGAAUUGUGGCCGGCAGACAAGCUGGGAUUCACCAAGACAGCCAUCCAAGCAAAGCCAGACUCUGUAUACUUUGUAGUAAGCAGGGGUGGUGGUGAUAUUGAUGUGAAGCGCCUGCCCAAGAGGCCGGCGCCCCCUCGGUUUGGCCGGAAGUUAUCUGAUUCACAGAAGGCUAGAGCAACACACAUCUGCCUUGAUUGUGGAUACAUAUACUUUCUACCCAAGGCUUUUGAAGAACAGCCUGAUGAGUAUGGCUGUCCCCAGUGCAAUGCGCCAAAGAAGCGAUUCGCGAGAUACGACGUAGAGUCUGGGAAGCCCAUUGGCGGUGCACUGCCACCUCUUACGGUGAUAGUCAGUUUGGUUAUCGGCAUCGCUGGAAUAGGGGCUUUACUUGUAUAUGGCCUUCAAUAG